UACGUAGGGGGCUAGCGUUGUCCGGAUUUAUUGGGCGUAAAGAGCGUGUAGGCGGCCAGGUAGGUCUGCUGUGAAAACUCGAGGCUCAACCUCGAGACGUCGGCGGAAACCACUUGGCUAGAGUCCGGAAGAGGAGAGUGGAAUUCCCGGUGUAGCGGUGAAAUGCGCAGAUAUCGGGAAGAACACCUAUGGCGAAGGCAGCUCUCUGGGACGGUACUGACGCUGAGACGCGAAAGCGUGGGGAGCGAACAGG
rnacentral:rRNA from 1 species